rnacentral:lncRNA from 1 species
GUCUGAGGGGUUCUGGACUGUGGUCGCCCUGCUACAUUAGGAGACUACAGUGGCACACACACUAGGGAAAUACUAUGCAGCUGUGAAAAGAGUGAGGUUUAUUGUGUGUAUGUGUGAGAAAAACAACCACAAACACCAUGCCCUGGAUGGAGCAAAUGAGAAACUGGCUGGACGAGGUGGAUGAGGGGGCCUAGGGACCAGCCUAAGAAUUUGCACCUGGCCCUGCAGGCAAUGGGGAGCAUGGUAAGGCAGAGACGUGAUCAUCACAGGAACCCCCAGGCAUCUACAGAGCAGGCAGACUUUGGAGAAGAGGAAGAAAUGCCUCUGCCACCCUCCAGAGAGAGGAUGAAACCUGCCCUCUCCCAACUGUGCACAGGCUGCCUCUCUGCCAGCCAGAUUCCCAGGAAAGACAGAAAGAGAUGGGACUGCCUGCUCAGCACUGAAGCGGAGCCCAGGACAACUGAAGGGCCGACCUGACUUGGUGUAGGAGGAGGCUACAGAACUAUGUGAACUCUAAGAAUGGGGGACACAUGGAGGGGGGCUCCUUGGGGACUGGCUCCCACAUGCUACCGUUCAGGUGAGGCCUCGAGCUUUAGUUUUCCAGGACUUGGAAACCAGAAAAUCACACUUCCAAUCCCCCCAAAGUCCGUGAGUUCUCCCUGGGUCCGUUCGACAAGGGUGAGCCUGCAUACACUGCAAAGUGCACCACGUGGUAGCUGACACGGGCUGGCUCACAAGCCAGCAAGUAUGGGGGAAAUCAGAACAAAACAUCCCUGAAAACCCCCUCCAAAGGUGUCACCCUGAGCUGAUGUGCUGUCUGCUGAUAAGACCUGCAUGGCCAGUUUCCCCGAGUGACGGACCCAAUCUGGCUGAGCACCAGAUGAUGUUAGAGACCAGGGCUGGGGAAAGAAAAAUCCCCCCCUUUAAAGAUCAAGCCACACGCAGGGUGGUGAGAUGCUUACGGUGAGGGGGACCUCGGUGGGGCUUUGUGGAUGGCAGUCUCAUCACCCUUUCCACAAGCCUCCCUCCCAGGCACGCGCUCACAGGACGAGAGCCUGGGCGGGAUCACCUUCAUCGUAUGGCCGAAUGUACAUUGUUGAUUUCAAGUAUGUUAAGUGAGCUUAUGAUGAGGGUCCCCUCUGCUGUCUCACCCACUUCUCCACUCUUAAGAAACGGCUUAAGGUUCCUGCUAACAGUGGUAAGUGAAGAUAUUGAUGACAACCACACUGCUGAUGACAGCAGGCUCCAGGCAGCCCCCUGGCACAGGGGAGGAAGAGCACUGUCCUACAGCUCCUGUGAAGUCUCUGCUCUUCUCUGCUUGGCACUGGCGCUGGGCUCAGAGGGGAAGGAGGAGAGAUCUGUCUCCGAGGUACCAGGAAGUUGGUGCCGACAAACCAAACUUGGUGGGGGAGUGGAAACUGUGGCUGGGCUCAGUCCUUCUUCCAGAUUUCAGCAUUUAUUAGGGCCCUAACUGAAUGGGUAAGGCUGGCAUUUGCACAUCUGGGCGCAGGCUGGGCCUGCGCCAGUACGUGAGGGGAAGCUCUGGUUCGUACCAGCCUUGAGCGUGCAACACGCGCAGCCAUAGGUGGGUGUGCUUUCAGGUUUCUCAGCACGGGGCACUCAGAGUCGACUACAAACAUCUGCAGAAGAGAGACGCUGCCAAGGGGAGAAGGAACAUUGAAGGUGUGAGGUGGUUACAUGUGUUUUUUGAGCUGCAGAGAGGAGUGUGGCUGUGGGGAGAGCCCUGUCCUCCUUGGAAAGAAAUGUCAGCCUUCCCAAGUGAAUGCCUGGCUGGUCAGAGUUCCAGAACUUUGUGAGCCCAUGGACUAAUGGGCAACAUAAUGGGGGUCCUCUAAUCCUCGCUUUUCAGAGGAAUCACUUGACUAAACUGCUGGCAUCUGUGGCUGCUGUUCUGAGCUGCAGCAUCAGCUGAUCCCCGAAACUCCACCACUGCUGCCAGCAAGGGGCCACAGCCCGGGAAUUCAACGGCCUAUCUAUUAUCCCUGCUCCCCUCCUGGGCUUAGCAGGUUAGAGUGAGCUGAUGGUCCCACCAUUGGACUCUUAUGAGCAAAGCAGCUUCACUGGUCCCACGCCUGGCUCCAGGGUCUGUGGCCAGCACCUAGGAACUGGGUUUCUGUCUCGGAGACACCGUUCAAUACUCAUUAACCUUACAAGGGGCAUGUCACUGGCCUCUACCCAGGUCUCCGCAUCUUCUUCCCCCAAAAGUUGAAAAAAUAAUAAAGUUACCAUCUGCAUGGCAAAAAAAAAAAAAAAA